CCUACGGGAGGCAGCAGUAGGGAAUAUUGCUCAAUGGGGGAAACCCUGAAGCAGCAACGCCGCGUGGAGGAUGAAGGUUUUCGGAUUGUAAACUCCUUUUGUUAGAGAAGAUAAUGACGGUAUCUAACGAAUAAGCACCGUCUAACUCCGUGCCAGCAGCCGCGGUACUACGGAGGGUGCAAGCGUUACUCGGAUUCACUGGGCGUAACGAGCGCGUAGGCGGGAGAGCAAGUCAGAUGUGAAAUCCUAUGGCUUAACCAUAGAACUGCAUUUGAAACUGUUAUUCUAGAGUAUGGGAGAGGUAGGUGGAAUUCGUGGUGUAGGGGUAAAAUCCGUAGAGAUCAAGAGGAAUACUCAUGGCGAAGGCGACCUGCUAGAACAUAACUGACGCUGAUGCGCGAAAGCGUGGGGAGCAAACAGGAUUAGAUACCCCUGUAGUC
rnacentral:rRNA from 1 species